GAUGAACGCUGGCGGCGUGCCUAGUACAUGCAAGUCGAGCGAACGGACGAGAAGCUCUCUUCUCUGUUGUUAGCGGCGGACGGGUGAGUAACACGUGGCUUACCCAUCUCUCAGGCUUAGAUAACUUCGAGAAACCGGAGUUAAUACUGGAUACUAUUUUGACCUGCAUGGUUCUAAAAUGAAAGACGGUCUUUCUGUCACUUAUAGAUGUAUCCGCGCGGCAUUAGCUAGUUGGUAAGGUAACGGCUUACCAAGGCAACGAUGCAUAGCCGACCUGAGAGAGUGAUCGGCCACACUGGAACUGAGACACGGUCCAGACGCCUAAGGGAGGCAGCAGUAGGCAAUCGUACGCAAUGGGCGAAAACCUGACGGAGCAACGGCGCGUGAGUGAUGACGGUCUUCGGAUCGUAAAACUCUGUUAUUAGGGAAGAACAUAUGUGUAAGUGACUGUACACAACGUGACGGUACCUAAACAGAAAGCCACGGCUAACUACGUG
rnacentral:rRNA from 1 species